AGGGAUAUAGCCAAGCGGUAAGGCAGCGGGUUUUGAUCCCGUAAUUCAGAGGUUCAAAUCCUCUUAUCCCUGCCA
rnacentral:tRNA from 1 species